CCUACGGGUGGCUGCAGUGGGGAAUAUUGCGCAAUGGGCGAAAGCCUGACGCAGCGACGCCGCGUGGGGGAUGAAGGCCUUCGGGUUGUAAACCCCUUUCAGCAGGGACGAAGCGAGAGUGACGGUACCUGCAGAAGAAGCGCCGGCUAACUACGUGCCAGCAGCCGCGGUAACACGUAGGGCGCAAGCGUUGUCCGGAAUUAUUGGGCGUAAAGAGCUCGUAGGCGGUCUGCUACGUCCGCUGUGAAAACCUAGGGCUUAACCCUGGGCUUGCAGUAGAUACGGGCAGACUAGAGGUAGGUAGGGGAGAAUGGAAUUCCCGGUGUAGCGGUGAAAUGCGCAGAUAUCGGGAGGAACACCGGUGGCGAAGGCGGUUCUCUGGGCCUUACCUGACGCUGAGGAGCGAAAGCGUGGGGAGCAAACAGGAUUAGAUACCCUAGUAGUCC
rnacentral:rRNA from 1 species